AUGAAUAGGAGGUGCUUGUGGAAUGUAGUCCUCAGGGGAAGCCUGCCACUCCUCACCAGGGAAGGAGAGCAACAAAGAAACCUCAACUAUGUGGAAUCUCUGACCUGGCAAGGUCAUUUUCUUUCUACAAAUUUGUAACCUGAAAGAAGAGCGUCAUCUUACAUGUGUCAUUGGAAAAUGGAAAUGAAAAUACAACGCAGGGGUUGUCUAGAGGGUGUAAAUCACACAAUAGAAGAGAGAGGACUGCACGUGAGGAGGACCAGAUGUCAGCGAUCUUCUACGGCACAGUGACACACAGGGCUCAGAUGUCCGACUCUGAGCGACCGUGUAAAUGUCUCCUUUAAUCUGAGAAAGAAAGCAUAGAGAUGGAUGCAGUGAGCAGGCCGAAGCAAGUGUGCAGCCCACGCGCACCGCCGAGCAUAGCGUUUGUCACGGAGGUGCUGCUCGUAGCGUUUGUACCCAGCAGUUACUUGCAUGUUAAAUGAACAAUAAUAGCAGGGAAGAGAAAUGAAGUAUAUUUUUUAUUUGAAGGAGAAUUUAAAAAAACAAUGAAAACAAUACAAAAUUACAAAAUAAGAUCACAGGACAUUAACAGUGGUUGUCAUAUUUCAUAUUGUUGUCUUCAAAGUAAUUGCUCAGAUGACCAGAUAUAGACAAGUAAAAGUGAUCAAACAAUAAAA
rnacentral:lncRNA from 1 species